UACGUAGGGUGCGAGCGUUGUCCGGAAUUAUUGGGCGUAAAGAGCUCGUAGGCGGUCUGUCGCGUCGGUCGUGAAAACCUGCAGCUUAACUGUGGGCGUGCGGUCGAUACGGGCAUGACUGGAGUUCGGCAGGGGAGACUGGAAUUCCUGGUGUAGCGGUGAAAUGCGCAGAUAUCAGGAAGAACACCCGUGGCGAAAGCGGCUCUCUGGAACGGUACUGACGCUGAGACGCGAAAGCGUGGGGAGCGAACAGG
rnacentral:rRNA from 1 species